rnacentral:tRNA from 1 species
UUCUAAGGAUGAUGCUAGCAUCACGGAGCUUGCUCCUGAUCGUGCAUCACUUAGCAGAAGACCGGCAAACAAAGCCGGUCGCAUACGGACCGGACCGUCCUCAUAUCUCUUCAGAAAACAUCGGAUGCCUGCCCGGCAGGGAUCCAAAAGCAAGGGGCCUUAGCUCAGCUGGGAGAGCGCCUGAUUUGCAUUCAGGAGGUCAGGAGUUCGAUCCUCCUAGGCUCCACCACUCAUGCAAACGGCCCGGACAAUAUGGGUCGGUAGCUCAGGUGGUUAGAGCGCACGCCUGAUAAGCGUGAGGCCGGAGGUUCAAGUCCUCCUCGACCCACCACUUCCCCGGAAGUGGUCCUGUGGAAGAACAUAUCUUCAAGCAGUUUGUGACUGUUUGAACGUCUGUUCUUCAGACGCACACAUUGACAUCGUUAAGAGAGAUACAAUCAACAAUACUGUUGGCGCCCCGCGUGAGGGGAGAGCCUCAGUGAGGUGCCGAUCUUCUUCGGAAGUGACGCGAGCCUGCGAUCAUGCCCCUUUCCUCGGGCACCCGCGGGUCUGCCUGGCUGAAACGACAGUGUUGUCCAAGUCAAGUACACUAACCCGCAUGAUCGCACGAUCAUGCAACAAGUUCCCGGCCACCGACAUGGCUGGGAGCGGGAUAGUUUGCUUUUUGGUUCAGAAUAAAGGUGCGGUUUCUUACCAGCUUCCGCACCGUGGCAGAUACACUGUCUUUUUCUGG